rnacentral:sRNA from 3 species
UUAUAUUCUCCGCCGGGGGGGAUGAGAACCCCCGACCGGGGUUCGACAACUGGCAACGCCAGUUGGACAGACCGCGAGCCUGCGAGCGGGCUGCCCCGCAGGGGCGAGCGAAGCGAGUCAAUCCCCCCCUCACCGCCA